UUAAAAUUCUUCUCUCUGUUUCUUUUGCAGGAGGAAUAAGGUGUGUUCAAGGAGCAGAAUUCAUUAUCGAACAUUGCCACCAAGGAGAACAAACCUGAUAACGGAAGAAUCAGAUUGUGGAUGAACAUUGGCCUUUGUUUCAGGACACGAAGUUGUCAUCCUAUUUACUCCAAAGAAAAGACGUCACUACAAGACAGGUAUGCGUUCAAAAGUUCCUUAUGCACAUAUGGUUUUUUUUUCCAUGCAGCCACCUCUACAAAUUUUAUCCAUUUUCCUUUCCCAACUUCCAAAGAUUAGACACUGAAUUGUGUAUUACUGCUUCUGCGCAUGCAUAUGCACAUACAUGUUCCUUCUGUGACUAUGAUUUCUUUUUUGUGUACUCACUUUUACAAAUUGCAUCCAUUUUCCUUCACAUUUCCAACAAUUACAGUCAUUCGUAUUUAUACCAGAUUUUUUUUCAAAAAAUGCUGUGUAUUUUAAUACCUCAAAAAAAUACUAUCAUUGUCAUUUAAAUCAUAAAUGUUUUCUAAGCGCGCGGGGCGCGCAUCAGUUACUAGUACUAAUAAUCAAUUAGAAGAGUUGGCGGACUGGACGAGAAGAGUUAAUAAGCAAGAGGGGACAGGAGAGACGUUGGAGUUGACAGGAAGCGCGCGGGCCCCACCCUCACGCCUGGCGAUGCUUAUGGUCCAUCGUCCUCCAUGCUCGUGCUGACGAAUUUUUUGUAUUUUAGCCCUUAAACAGAAGUAAAAUCACGUUUAGACCUAAAAAAAUUUUAAAUGCAGUUUUGGACCCUUAGCUCGGCGCCAUAGCCUGUGGCGCCGAGCUAACACAGCUCGGCGCCACAGCCUAUGACGCCGAGCUUCGUGACGUGUCAUCCCGCGUGGCACCUAGCUCGGCGCCACAGAUCUUGGCGCCGAGCUAGGAAAUAUCCGCCCGACGCCUUUCUCUCUGCCCGUUUCGUCUGUUCUUCAGU